GAUGAACGCUAGCGGCAGGCUUAAUACAUGCAAGUCGAACGGUAAGUAGUGUAGCAAUACAUUACCAAGAGUGACGUACGGGUGCGUAACACGUAUGCAACCUACCUUGUACAGGAGUAUAGCUCGGGGAAACUCGAAUUAACCCUCCAUAAGAUCGUGGUGUGGCAUCACACAGCGAUAAAAACUCAGGUGGUACAAGCUGGGCAUGCGUCUGAUUAGAGUUGGCGGGGUAACGGCCCACCAAGACGAUGAUCAGUAGGGGAACUGAGAGG
rnacentral:rRNA from 1 species